AUUGAACGCUGGCGGCAGGCCUAACACAUGCAAGUCGAACGAGUGGCGGACGGGUGAGUAAUGUCUGGGAAACUGCCUGAUGGAGGGGGCUAACUACUGGAAACGGUAGCUACUACCGCAUACCCUCGGAUGUGCCCAGAUGGGAUUAGCUAGUAGGUGGGGUAACGGCUCACCUAGGCGACGAUCCCUAGCUGCUCUGAGAGGAUGACGAGCCACACGGGAGCUGAGUCACGGUCCAGACUCCUACGGGAGGCAGCAGGGGGGAAUAUUGCACAAUGGGCGCAAUCCUGAUGCAGCCAUGCCGCGUGUAUGAAGAAGGCCUGCGGGUUUUAAAGUACUUUCAGCGGGGAGGCGUUACCCGCAGAAGAAGCACCGGCUAACUCCGUGCCAGCAGCCGCGGUAAUAC
rnacentral:rRNA from 1 species